GGUGUGAGAUGUAAACAAAGCAUGAAGAAAUAACUUGGAGCUUUGGUAAGUAGCAGUUGCUAGUUACAUUUGUUUAAACAUUUUAUUUGAUUACAGAUGCUUCCGCGCAAAGUGAUAACGAAGGUCAAACAAUGAAGGUUUCAUUAAUGAGACAAGGAGCCGGAACAAGACAAAUGCGAGCUGGCGAUAGAGCGUUGCUGUUGAUUUUUCUUAUCUUUGCAAACGCGUGCUUGUUGACGCUUGAUAGCAACGCCAUGUCGCAGAUAUCGUACAAGGUGCAAUCAGUUGAAUUCGGUUAGUUCUUCGAAGCAGUUGGAGCAGAAUAUGCAAUUCUUUAAAAACGGAGAAGUUAUCUAUUGUGAUAAUGUCUCUGUUCAUUCUUCCGUUAGGUGGCAAUUCCUUGAUUCUUUGCAUUACGAUAAAGCGCUUUACAACAGUAAUGUAUUAACACAAGAUGGUCAAAGUCACAACUAAAAAAGAUAAACACGUUCUUUUUGCAAAGGGUGAAUUCUGAAUAAAAGUGUUGUUCAACACUUUAAAUACAAA